rnacentral:rRNA from 1 species
CCUAAAUACUACCCAGUGACCGAUAGCGUAUAGUACUGUGAAGGAAAGGUGAAAAGCACCCCGGGAGGGGAGUGAAAAAGAACCUGAAACCCUGUGCCUACAAGCACCUAGAGCACGUCAAUGUGUGAUAGGGUACUUUUUGUAGAACGGUCCGGCGAGCGAUUGUAUGCAGCAAGGUUAAGGACUUAAGGUCUGGAGCCGAAGCGAAAGCGAGUUUGAAAAGGGCGUUAAGUUGCAUAUAAUGGGCCCGAAACCGGGUGACCUACCCAUGGUCAGGUUGAAGUGGAAGUAAAAUUCCAUGGAGGACCGAACCGACCUCCGUUGAAAAGGCGGCGGAUGAACUGUGGGUAGCGGAGAAAUUCCAAUCGAACCCGGAGAUAGCUGGUUCUCCCCGAAAUAGUUUUAGGACUAGCCUCAAGUUAGAUACCUGGAGGUAAAGCACUGAAUAGCCUAGCGGCCGAGAGGUUAGCGAAGCUUAUCAAACUCAGAAUGCCAGAGUAUUGAUGCUUGGGAGUCAGACAGUGUCAGAUAAAUGUCAUUGUCAAAAGGGAAACAGCCCAGAUCUACAGCUAAGGUCCCAAAGUCAGGUUAAGUGGAAAACGAUGUGAAGAUACGCAGACAACCAGGAUGUUGGCUCAGAAGCAGCCACUCAUUCAAAGAGUGCGUAAUAGCUCACUGGUCGAGCGUCUUUGCGCGGAGAAUUUAACGGGGCUAAACCUGACACCGAAGCUUAGGCAAUCCAGCAAUGGAUUGGGUAGGGGAGCGUUGUAUACGCGGAGAAACAGUAGCGUAAGCGGCUGUGGAGUGUAUAGAAGUGAGAAUGCCGGAAUGAGUAGCGCGAAUGCAGUGAGAAUCUGCAUGGCCGAAAGCCUCAGGUUUUUGGAGGAAGGUUCGUCCGCUCCAAGUUAGUCGGGAGCUAAGGUGAGGCCGGAAGGCGUAGCCGAUGCACAGACGGUAGAGAUUCCGUCACCACCAAAAGAGUUAAGCACAGGGACACAUUUGAAGUCUCGGAGCCGGGUGUUGGUUCCGGUAGCGAUCGAGGGAAGUUAGUACCGAAGUCCGGGAUGGAAGAUGGCGAGAAAAGCUGUGUGUAUUUCUGAGGUGCCCGUACCGCAAACCGACACAGGUAGGUAGGAAGAAGAUUCUAAGGCCAACGGGAGAAGGGUUGUUAAGGAACUCGGCAAGUUGACCCCGUAACUUCGGAAUAAGGGGUGCUCACGAGAGUGAGCCGCAGAGAAUAGGCCCAGGCAACUGUUUACCAAAAACACAGGUUUGUGCUAAAUCGAAAGAUGACGUAUACGAGCUGACGCCUGCCCGGUGCUGGAAGGUUAAGAGGAGAUGUGCAAGCAUUGAAUCGAAGCCCCAGUGAACGGCGGCCGUAACUAUAACGGUCCUAAGGUAGCGAAAUUCCUUGUCAGGUAAGUUCUGACCCGCAUGAAAGGCGUAAUGAUCUGGGCACUGUCUCAACAGCCCGCCCGGCGAAAUUGUAGUACCGGUGAAGAUGCCGGUUACCCGCGACAAGACGGAAAGACCCCAUGGAGCUUUACUGUAGCCUAAUAUUGGGUUUCGAUGUUGCAUGCACAGGAUAGAUGGGACACAGGGAAACAAUCGCUUUGGCGGUUGCGGAGUGGCCGUUGGGAUACCAUCCUUGCGAUAUUGGAAUUCUAACCUGCGGCUCUGAAUCGAGUCGGGGGACAUUGUUAGGUGGGCAGUUUGACUGGGGCGGUCGCCUCCUAAAAAGUAACGGAGGCGUUCAAAGGUUCGCUCAGCUUGAACGGAAAUCAAGCAAAAGAGUGCAAACGCAGAAGCGAGCCUAACUGCGAGACUGACGGGUCGAGCAGUAACGAAAGUUGGAGUUAGUGAUCCGGUGGUAUGUGAGUGGAAAUGCCAUCGCUCAACGGAUAAAAGUUACCCUGGGGAUAACAGGCUGAUCUCCCCCAAGAGUCCACAUCGACGGGGAGGUUUGGCACCUCGAUGUCGGCUCAUCGCAUCCUGGGGCUGUAUUCGGUCCCAAGGGUUUGGCUGUUCGCCAAUUAAAGCGG